ACGCCCGCGUGGGCACCAGGCUGCGCCUGGGGAGGGCUGGCGGGGCAGGGAGGGCGGAGGACACGCCUGGGCCUCCUGCCAUGUCAGCAGCUCUGCAGGGGCCCCGGGUCCUUCCUGAGCUACAGUGCGGUGAAACAGACGCGCAUUUCCAGCGUCGUGGGAAAACUGGACUUCAUCACUUUAUGGUCGUAUACAGAACAGUUUGAUCGCAUAUGCUGUUUCGUAGCUCGUUCUUUGUAGGAGUGUUUUCCUGCUGCUCCCAUAGUCUCAAUAGUCUUUAGGCCAUAAGGAACGUCCGCAUCUAUUCCAUAAUGGGACCUGUCCAGCCCUUCUGUUUAAUCGGCGUUGCCGAACUGCGAGUGUGUGUGUUUCUGUUUUGAAUUUCUAACCCUCCUGGAUGGCGUUCCCCUGCCACUCUGUUUCCUGGCACGAUGCCUUGAAUUCGCUGAGAAUGUUCACUGAGUGAAAAACCCCAGACUGGUAGUUUAAAAAAAGAAUACCAGACAAUUAAAAAUAGGCCAUCAAAUGAAAAAUCCCCCAUUAGCACAACCACAGCGUAUAGAUUUUCUAAAUUUAAGAUUUUCUAAGUUUCCGUUUUUCAAAGUUAAAAACAAAAAUACAGUAAUGCCUCACUUAUCCAUCAAAUGUGGUAUUUCGGGUUAGUGAAUCUUCCAGAUAAUUCAUUGACUCUAUCCAACAUGGAGAAGUAUUUCCUUUGUAAUCAUUUUUGUAGCAGGAGAGUGAGUGUAGGCAGGGUGCCGAACCCCUCUGAGCCUCGAAAUGGGACAGAACAGCCUGCUCGGCGGGCCAUCGUGAGACUUAGCAGAUGAGGAAGGCAGACAUCUAGCACACAGUGGGUGUUCAACAGUGAUAGUUACCUUCCAUCUCUGUUCCCACUCCAGCCCGAGACUGCGUGUAUAUUCUUCUUACCCUAAAAAAUCCUAUUUUGCUGUACUUCUACUUCCCGUUUUAACUUUCUAUAGUUUUAGUAUUUCCUUGUUUACCGUGUCCGUCUGCAGAAGACCUCCUAACAUCUGCUUCUCCUAAUCCUAGGUGAUCAGACCUCCAAAUUUAGUAGAAUUCCAUUUAAAUUAGAGUUAAAAGGACUGAGUCAGAGUCUGAGAUUAUUACCACACGAGUAAAAUUAACUAAUGAAAUAUUCACAUCUGCUAGAAGCAGCAGCACAUAGCGGUCAAGUGCACAGACCUUGAUCAUGACUCCUCCACAGGGAUACCUUGGACAAGUUACUUGACUUCUCUGAGCUUCAUCUUUUCAUCAGUAAAAUGAGCAUAAUAAUAAUAUCUGUUUAAUAAGGUCAUUGUGAGGAUUAAGUGAGAUCAUUCAUGGAAAGAGCCCAGGAUGGUACCUGGCAUGUAAUAAAUACCAAGUAAUUGUUACCUAUUAUCUAUUUCUGUAGCUCAAAGACUUUUUAAAAUUUCUUUUGUGGGGAGGGGGGUGUUUUUAGGAAACGAUCUUCAUAUUUGCAGUAUAUCACCAUAGGACUAUCGACUAAUUCAUUAAACUAUAGUAAAGUCCUAAUGCAUUGUUAUUAUGUAAUUUCUUAUAGAAAAUGUUUCCUUACUGAAAACAUGAAAAUGAAAACAAUUCAGUAUGGUCAGGACGCUGUUAGUAGCUGAUAAAAUUCUAAACACCUAUUUAAAAAGACAAACUUUCCUUUUAUCAUGGUAAUUCAUUUGUGAAAGUUAAGUAGGGCCUUCAAAUGAAGUCAUCUUUGUGUUACCUUUAUAUGGAGUUUGGAGAGUUAGUGUUUGCAUAUUCCAUUUACUGCUACUUAUUUCUCUGCUACAGCCUAGAAAUUCAGUGCAAAUAAUCUUAUGGUGUUUCAGAGCGUAAAUAUAACAGUAUUAGUUUAAUAAAAUGCAUGUAUCAAGUACAUAGAACUUAGAAAAUGCCCUUUUGUUGAGCGAAGCCACAAGCGCUUGUGUUUGUAGCAAAGAUGAAAUGCCAGGAUAGAAACAUGGCUUUCUGUGGUGAGUUAAUGCUCGGGUCUGAAAGUGAGUUUGUGGCUUUCAUUUGGUCCACCAGCCUUUGCUCCUUCCCAUGUUGCUAUGGAGAUUGUAUUAAAAGCAUUGACUUCAGUUUCUACCAUAGUCUUUAAAGGACUUUUUUUGGUAACUGAAAACCAAAUACUUGAAUCUCAGUAGCUUAUUGCUGGAAAUAAAAUCAAUAGUUUUUAUGUGAUAAACUCUAAAAGGUCUUGAUAAUAUUAUUAAAUUUUCUAAUAUAUUUAGUUAAAUUUGCAUUGCUUGUCAUAAAAUAAUACGUUGUAUCAGCCAGUAUCUAAAUUAAUGUGGACAUCUGGCAUUAUUUUAAAUGAACAUAUUGAAUAUUCUUUUAAAAUACCAAGUCCCAUACAAGUGUUAGUUCCAACCUAAAUUUAAUACAGAGUGAGUAAAAAGAAAUUACAGUAUUUUUGCAUAAACAAUAAGUACCCAAACCUUCAAAUAUCAACAGCAGAGAAGAAUGGCUGGUAUAUUCAUGACUUUUGAUCCUUGUAGACAUCACAGAUUUUCAUUCCCCAAACUUACUAUUCUUAUAUGAAAAUGGAGAACAUCAACUUAAAAGAUUAUUUGUUUAGUAUGACAACAUGUCUCCGCCUUUUCCCACACGUAUGUGGUUCUCACAGGUCCUUGCUUUCCCAGGGGGAAAAUCAGGCAACCUAGGGUUUUUCAGGAGCAUUGUAUCAGUCGGCUAGGAUGGCCACAACAAAAUAACCACAAUGCUGGGAACAAACAACAGAAGUCUCUUGUCUCAGAGCCCCGAAGCCUGGGAGUCUGAGAUCCAGGUAUUGGCAGGGUCGGCUCCUUCCGAGGCUGUGAGGGCAGGACUCAUCCCAGGCCUCUCUCCUUGCCUUAUAGAUGGCCAUCUUCCCCGCUCCCCUCUUCCCAUCACCCUCCCUCCGUGUACGCCUGUCUCUGUGUUGAAAUCUCCCCUUUUUGUAAGGACACCGGUGAUACUGCAUUAGGGCCUACCCGAACGACCUCACCCUAACUUAACAAAAUACACCUGCAGUGAUCCUGAUUCCAAAUAGGCCACUGUCAUGUUGCCUCACGUGGCAGUGAGUGUAAGUACAUGCGUGUGUGCACAAGCUCUCCAGCCUUUUCUUAUAAGGGCACUAAUCCCACCGCGAAGGCCCCGUUCUCGUGACCUCGCAUAAACCUCAUCAUCUCCCAAAGGCCUCAUCCCCAAAUCCCAUCACAUCAGAGGGUAGUGAAUCGAAGGGGCAGGGCACACAGUUCACUUCAAAGCAGUCACAUUCUAAGGUACUGGACCUUAGGACUUCAAUAUAUGAAUUUGGGGCAAUACAAUUCAAGCUAUAACGGUCUUCUAAAAAUUCGUGUCCUCACAUGCAAAAUAAAUUCACCUCAUCCAACACCCGCCAAAUCCUAACCCAUUCUAGUAUCAACUCUGAAGUUCAAAAUCUCAUCUUAAAUAUCUUAAAUAUCUAUAUCAGAUCUGGGUAAAACUUGGGCAUAGUUCUUCCUGGGGCAGAAUUCCUUUCUAGCUGUGAACCUGUGAAAGCAGACAGGUUACCUGCUUCCAGUAUAUAACAGUGGAAUCGGCAUUUUCUCCCAUCCUGUAAUUUGCCUUUUCCUGUUGUUGAUUGUUUUCUUUGCUGUUCAGACGCUUUCUGGUUUGACGUAGUCCCACAUAUCUGUUUUUGCUUCUGUUGCUUGUGCUUUUGGUGUCAUAUCUAAGAAAUCACUGCUAAGACCGCCAUCAAGAAGUUUUCCCUCUAUAUUUUCUUCUAGGAGUUUUAUAGUCUCAGGUCUUAUGUUGAAGUCUCAACUUGUUUCUGAGUUGAUAUUUCGUAUGGUGUAGGAUAAAGGUUCAAGUUCAUUCUUUGCAAUGUCGAUUUCUCGUUUUCCCAACACCAUUUGUGGAAGAGACUGUCUUUUUCCCACUGUGUAUUCUUGACUUCCGUGUGGAAGAUCAGUUGCCUAUAUAUGUGUGGGUUCAUUUCUAGGCUCUCUAUUUUGUUCCAUUGGUCUAUAGAUCUGUCUUUAGGCCAGUACCAUACUGCUUUGAUUCAUGUAGCUUUAUAAUAUCUUUUUAAUAUUUUACAAUAUUCUUCAGUUGGUUUAAGCAAAUUAUUAACUAUUUCUUCCUCAUUGUAUCACUCAACAAUUAAGUAUUAACCAUCGGCUGUGGGCCAGACUCUGUACUAAGUGUUGGGGAUUCAGCUAUGACUAAAAUGCCUGAUACUUCUUUUCCCAUAUAUAUCUUACUCCUAAAUUUCUAGGGCCUGGACAGAUCAAGUACAGAAGCAAGUAUGUAAUAUUUAAGCCUCUGGUUCUGCACACGGAAUAAUCCCAUAAGAGACAGUUACUAUUAACAUAAAUGUAACUAGCAGAUGCAAUAUAUUUCUAGAUGAAUCUCCAGUAAGUUAAUACUACACAGACUUGGGAGUUUUAUCAGCUCAGCUCUGUCUAAUAAACACUGUUUGUCUUUUGGCUUGAGUUUCUGUAUGAGUCAAGGAUAUGCUUUUUGUUUCUAAUCAGGAAACACUUUUGCAAAGAAAUAGCACAUUUCUGAUGAUGUUCAUAGGCUCCAAUAUGUGCCAACAAUAUUGUGAUUUAUUUUUUUUAGGAUAGUGGUAUUUCUGUAUUUUAAAAGUAGGCUGAAAUGCUCUUUCUUCUGCCUUGCCUAUAAAUACACUCAGAUUCCGAAGCAA